AGCACCCAGUUCCCAACACAGGGUCCCCCCUCACUCCCAGCCCAAGGGAAGAGCCAGGCACGUUUUCCUCCCAUGCUGUGGUUUCCUUUGUGCCCAUCACAGAUCUGCAGUAGUGGCCAAAUGUUGCUCCAUGUGGACCAUGGUGGUGUUGCACACAUUUAAAGGAAACUUCUCUCAUCUCUUUGUGAUUCUAGACGACUACACUGCUUCUUUACCUAUGAUUGCCUCUUCGGACUCAGCUUUUGUUCCUGAGGUGGAACCUGGAUACAGUUCCACACAGGGAUUGCUGUGUAUCAGCACGGUGCCACUGCAGGCACCCUGCACGUAUGGUUGAGAUGCUGCUGCGUGGAAGGGAGAGAUGGGUGCUGUGGAGAGAUCCUCCGUUGUUCCCAUCUGGAGAUGGGUAUGUGGACGUGUUUGACACAACCUGCUCUGUCUUGCUGGUUUUCAGGUGUGAGUGGAAGUGAAUGGGGUGCAGAAUCCCAGCCGGCUCCUGGGUCCGAAGCGGUUUCUAUCCCAGUAAUACAUCAAUAAAGAACUGCAUUAUUUCCUAA